GGGGAUUUGGCUCAAUGGUAGAGCGCUUGCCUAGGAAGCGCAAGGCCCUGGGUUCGGUCCCCAGCUCCG
rfam:Rattus norvegicus chromosome 1, whole genome shotgun sequence.